rnacentral:rRNA from 1 species
GACGGAGGAUGCAAGUGUUAUCCGGAAUCACUGGGCGUAAAGCGUCUGUAGGUGGUCAAAUAAGUCAACUGUUAAAUCUUGAGGCUUAACCUCAAAAUCGCAGUCGAAACUAUUAGACUAGAGUAUAGUAGGGGUAAAGGGAAUUUCCAGUGGAGCGGUGAAAUGCGUAGAGAUUGGAAAGAACACCGAUGGCGAAGGCAGCCUCCUGGGCCAGCACUGACGCUCAUGCACGAAAGCGUGGGGAGCAAACAGG